AUUGAACGCUGGCGGCAGGCCUAACACAUGCAAGUCGAACGAGUGGCGGACGGGUGAGUAAUGUCUGGGAAACUGCCUGAUGGAGGGGGAUAACUACUGGAAACGGUAGCUAAUACCGCAUACCAUCAGAUGUGCCCAGAUGGGAUUAGCUUGUUGGUGGGUUAACGGCUCACCAAGUCGACGAUCCAUAGCUGGUCUGAGAGGAUGACGAGCAACACUGGAACUAGGACAGAGUCCAGACGCCUACGUGGGGCAGCAGUGGGGAAUAUUGAACAAUGGACGCAAGCCUGAUGCGGCCAUGCCGCGUGUAUGAGGAAGGCCUUCGAGUUGUAAAGUACUUUCAGCGGGGAGGCGUUACCCGCAGAAGAAGCACCGGCUAACUCCGUGCCAGAAGCCGCGGUAAUAC
rnacentral:rRNA from 1 species